rnacentral:ncRNA from 1 species
CAACAGGUUUGGUCCUGGCCUUAAUGUCAGCUUUAACUAAACUUAUACAUGCAAGUCCCCGCGCCCCAGUGAAAAUGCCCUCACACGCCAGUAGGUGUAGAGGAGCUGGCAUCAGGCCCACACUAAGUAGCCCAAGACGCCUUGCAACGCCACACCCCCAAGGGACACAGCAGUAAUUAAAAUUGGACUAUAAGUGUAAACUUGAUCCAGCCAUGGUUAAAUAAAGUUGGCCAACCUCGUGCCAGCCGCCGCGGUUACACGAGGAACUUAAGUUGAUGCCUCCGGCGUAUAGGAUGAUUAAGAGGAACUUUUACUAAAAUCAAAUAUUGGCCCUGCUGUUAUACGCGCUCGCCAACUAGAAACUCAAAAUUUUUAACUAACAGUACAUCUGAACUCAUGAAAGUCAGGAAACAAACUAGGAUUAGAUACCCUACUAUGCCUGACCCUAAACUAUGACAAGUUUAACUACAUAACUUGCCCGCCAGGGAACUACAAGCCCAAGCUUAAAACCCAAAGGACUUGGCGGUGCCUCACACCCACCUAGAGGAGCCUGUUCUAGAACCGAUAAUCCACGUUUUACCCAACCUUCCCUAGCAUUUCAGCCUAUAUACCGCCGUCGCCAGCCAACCCCCUGAGGGUAGACUAGUUGGCAGAAUAGAUAACAUCUAGCACGUCAGGUCGAGGUGUAGCACAUGAGAAGGAAGAAAUGGGCUACAUUUUCUAGUAGAAAACACGGACAAUCCCAUGAAACUGGGAUUCUAAGCUGGAUUUAGUAGUAAGAGAAAAUAAGAAUAUUUUUCUGAAGCCGGCCAUGAGGCGCGCACACACCGCCCGUCACUCUCCUCAACAAUCGUAAACGAUAAAUAAUUAAUUUAGAUAAAAAAGAGGAGGCAAGUCGUAACAUGGUAAGUGUACCGGAAGGUGUACUUGGUUU